UACGGGGGGGGGCAAGCGUUUGUUCGGAAUUACUGGGCGUAAAGGGCGCGUAGGCGGCCUGCUAAGUCACACGUGAAAUCCCUCGGCUCAACCGGGGGAACUGCGUGUGAUACUGGCGGGCUUGAAUUCGGGAGAGGGAUGUGGAAUUCCAGGUGUAGCGGUGAAAUGCGUAGAUAUCUGGAGAAUACCGGUGGCGAAGGCGGCAUCCUGGACCGGCAUUGACGCUGAGGAGCGAAAGCCAGGGGAGCAAAGCGGG
rnacentral:rRNA from 1 species